rnacentral:rRNA from 1 species
AACGAACGCUGGCGGCAUGCCUAACACAUGCCAGUCGAACGAGACCUUCGGGUCUAGUGGCGCACGGGUGCGUAACGCGUGGGAACCUGCCCUUAGGUUCGGAAUAACUCCCCGAAAGGGGUGCUAAUACCGGAUAAUGUCUUCGGACCAAAGAUUUAUCGCCUUUGGAUGGGCCCGCGUUGGAUUAGCUAGUUGGUAGGGUAAAAGCCUACCAAGGCGACGAUCCAUAGCUGGUCUGAGAGGAUGAUCAGCCACACUGGGACUGAGACACGGCCCAGACUCCUACGGGAGGCAGCAGUGGGGAAUAUUGGACAAUGGGCGAAAGCCUGAUCCAGCAAUGCCGGGUGAGUGAUGAAGGCCUUAGGGUUGUAAAGCUCUUUUACCCGGGAUGAUAAUGACGGUACCGGGAGAAUAAGCUCCGGCUAACUCCGUG